CACAGCAACAGCUGCUUGGUCUGUCUGCCCACUCAAAGCAAGGCAUCCGCCCCCUUAACAUUUUUAGCCAACGUGAGGUCAGUAGAACAUGGUGCAACACUUGGCGUGCUGGAAAGGGUGCAGAGUACGUGGUAUUUAAUUGAGGCCCACAGGCGGACCAUUAAGAAAGAUGUUUCCUCAGCUGAUAAGUUAUGUGACUCGUGGUUUUUUCUGUUAAUCACAUGAGGAGAAGCUCCGGUUUCAUCUUUUGGCACGUCGUGGAUCCCUGCCGUUGCUAAUGGUGACUGAGGACUUUGUGGUCGUUGGAGGUCCAGCAGCGUUGAUGGGCGGCGCACCGUUUCCAGUGGACCGGCCGUUUGGACGCCCCACACCGCCAAAUGUCGGGUCACGGGGCGCGCCUGGUGUUGGGUUAUUGGCAAACGGCGGCAUGGCAC